rnacentral:lncRNA from 1 species
CUAGGUCACAGUAUCUUAUUAAUGCAUGCACGAGUCAUACUUCUCCCCCUCCCCGUUCAACUUCUCUUUACUUUGGGGUAGUUUUAGUAGGCUAUUGCCUGCGUGGCAUUCCACGCGGUUUUGGCCAAACAACGGUUUGUUGAACUAUUGUGAAUUUUGUAGCGAAACGCAACAAUGUAUCAAUAAAACUUACCUCCGCGUUGCCCACUAUUAUGGAAGUACACAGGCAAUUAUCUUGCAAUUUGUUGUUCACUUACUUGCCCUCACCUAAUGUCUUUGAAUGAGAAAGGAAAAUAUCAUAUUCCCUUGAGGAGAAUGCAAAACCACAACAUCCAUUUGAGUUCUUUGACACAUUUGCGCCUUGUUCUGUCGUGGAGGUAGCGCCCAUCAACGACAUAUUUCAACGUUGAGAGCACACACAGUGACUGGAUAGACAGCUUCAUUUUAUGCAAACCGUUUUAGGGUACGUCGAAGGUGGCGUGAAAGUGGAUGUGGCCUGUCUAAUGUAAACAAAAUAAGGCAUGAUGCGUCGCACAGUGAGUGUAGGCCUGAACAAAAACAGAUUUUUUUUUCUUUUUUUCUUUCCCCCGACAGUUUUUUGGGGUCAGUAAUGGACCUUUGCACAUCCGUUUUUUUAACUUUGAAAUUAUAGCAAAGUGUGACGUGUCAAUAUGGUGAUAAUAGGGUAAAUCAAGCAUAACCGGUGUAACCAGUACAGGUGUGUCGCUUACUUUGGUGUCUGCAAUGCGUACAUUCACAAUUUAAGUAACUCAGUGACUCACUCACUCACCCACUCACUCACACACACACACACACACACACACACACACACACACACACACACACAUACACACAUAAACACACACACGAGCGUCAUAAAAGCUGUGUUGCAAUAGCCAUUAGCCAGUGAUUAAGAGAGGACACAACAGGUUUUCACUUCAUCAGCAGUCAUCUCUUGGGAGCCCUGUUGGCUCCAUCCAGACCAUUAAGUGCCCCCCAACACUUAGAGAGAGCGAGAGCGGGAGGCAGGCAGGCGGGGUGGAUGUUGUGUUGUCUCUCCUGGUGGCUGCCCUUAGCCACAGUACAUGGGCUUUCAUUAGUGGCUUGGCUAAAUGAUUGGCCUCAGGAAAGCCCUGAAGCCUCACAAUGCAUGUGUCAGUUUAUAUAUCCUAUUCAUUGGACAAGUUAUUCAUGUAUUCAUUAUCAUUUAUCUAUUGUGGCACCCACAAACAUGCAGCGCUUAUUGAAUGGAUAGAUCAGCUUUUUGGUUUAAGGUGAAUAAAUCUACAUCAUAUGUUGUGUUUUAGGGAUAGGUACUGAAUUCUCAAUAUGCUGUAUAUUGUCCUUGUUUACCGGUAGCCAUUUUCUUUUGAAAUUGAGAGGGAUUAUGAAAAAAACAUGACUGACAAUUGAAGCUCUUAAUUUGACACGGGCAUGUGUAAAAUGGACAACAUGUAGUUGUAGGAUAUCUUUAGGACAUGCUAAUCAGACCUUGGAAUUAAAAUGACAACAUUCGGUCUCUGUCAUUUACAUAAGAGGUCAUGUUUUGCUAAUAUGUCUCUCGUUGGAACCGACAGCCAGCAAGAAUGGUGGUUAAGUCUGACCCACUGACAUUUUCAGCUCCAAAUUAUGCACAAUGUGUGAAUUAAAUUAAUUACGGAAUUCAUUAAGAAAUAUGGCUGGCGGAAAUGAGUGUAAUAU